rnacentral:rRNA from 1 species
CGCUGGCGGCAGGCCUAACACAUGCAAGUCGAGCGGUAGAGAGAAGCUUGCUUCUCUUGAGAGCGGCGGACGGGUGAGUAAUGCCUAGGAAUCUGCCUGGUAGUGGGGGAUAACGUUCGGAAACGGACGCUAAUACCGCAUACGUCCUACGGGAGAAAGCAGGGGACCUUCGGGCCUUGCGCUAUCAGAUGAGCCUAGGUCGGAUUAGCUAGUUGGUGAGGUAAUGGCUCACCAAGGCGACGAUCCGUAACUGGUCUGAGAGGAUGAUCAGUCACACUGGAACUGAGACACGGUCCAGACUCCUACGGGAGGCAGCAGUGGGGAAUAUUGGACAAUGGGCGAAAGCCUGAUCCAGCCAUGCCGCGUGUGUGAAGAAGGUCUUCGGAUUGUAAAGCACUUUAAGUUGGGAGGAAGGGUUGUAGAUUAAUACUCUGCAAUUUUGACGUUACCGACAGAAUAAGCACCGGCUAACUCUGUGCCAGCAGCCGCGGUAAUACAGAGGGUGCAAGCGUUAAUCGGAAUUACUGGGCGUAAAGCGCGCGUAGGUGGUUUGUUAAGUUGGAUGUGAAAUCCCCGGGCUCAACCUGGGAACUGCAUUCAAAACUGACUGACUAGGGUAUGGCAGAGGGUGGUGGAAUUUCCUGUGUAGCGGUGAAAUGCGUAGAUAUAGGAAGGAACACCAGUGGCGAAGGCGACCACCUGGACUAAUACUGACACUGAGGUGCGAAAGCGU